UCUCUCAAGCCACUUUUGUAAAUGAAGCUGUUUUAAAGCAGGUUUGAUUUGGCUCCAACACCCUUGGUGAAGUUACCAUGCUGAAAGGUGAUAGAUUACUUCAAAAGACUGGUCCCCGUGGAAAAAGCGGGCCCUCCCAGAAGAAGUGCCACCCCCACAGUGCGCCCACACACCCCAGGGCUCUGUGGUCCCGUCCGGAGCCCCCGAGCUGAAUCUCAGAAAACAGGACUGCUCUCCAAAGGAAAGAGUCUGUUGAAAAGGCUUGGUGCUGUCAAAUAGUUUCACAUUCGUUCUCAACACAGCAGCCGGGUUUAGGAGAUUGGAAUUAAAGAGAAAGUGAUAGAAGAGGUGGGGAGAAGAAGGAAAACAAUCCCCCAUCAUAGUUUUUUCACAUGCACUGGAUCAAACAUGUAACAUAGAAAGAGAAAUGGUGCAAACUAGGGCUUUCAUGACCACUACGUUGAUGAAACUGUAAACUCUGUUUGCCGUGUUUGAUUAUAAAAAGCACAGAAAUGCUCGCUAAUGUGAGUUAUUAUGAUGUCCUGUCUUAAAAACACAGUAAUCAAAUGCAAUCAAUACUAUAUUAAAAACAACAAUAUUUAUUAUUGUUAUGCUCACUGUUUUGAUUUAAUGUGAUGUCUUAAAUAUCACUGUAAAACAGGGAAAAUUAAAUACAGCUUAUACUUCUAUUUAAUUUGUUAUAAAGAAUAUAUAUAUAUAUAUAUAUAUAUAUAUUCAUUUAUUAUUGUUAUAAUUAACAACAACAAGGUGAAUAUUCAUUUAAAAUGAUAAAUUAUGCUAAUAUUAUAAAUAUAGUUGUACAAGGGAUGUGUGAGAUAAAGAUACACCAUUGAUAUUUAUUAAAUUAGAAGAAUAUUUAAAAGGAUAUAUUUAAGGGAUAUUUAGCUGUUGCCAUUUUUGCACAUUUUAGAUAAUCUAGACCUUUUUUCCACUAUAAGAAGGAUACCCAGCACAAAUGUAUAGGAGUUAGCACAAAUAUGCAAUGGGGAUAUGCAGUAAACCUUCUGUAUAUAUCCACAAACACCAUGAGAGGAAACAAUGUUUUACUUUUCUUUAAUUCAUUUGUUUUUGUUUAUAUUUUUAUUGUUAUUUUAAUUUAUUUUUUAAGUACUAAAUGGUCAUGAAACUCCUAGUGGAAGCGAGUCUCCUCAUAUUUGCCUUACUCAAUGCACAAUGGUUUGUGUUGUGGCUGAGACUGGUCUGUUUUGUGUUGUGUGCAGUCAUGUCGACGAUUCCCUCAUCAAGCAGCACUGUAUUUCAAAUCUGUCUCACCAAGUGUUGUGUUGUUGUUUGCAAUGGUUGUCAUAAGUAGGAAAGGAUAGACUUUCACUUCGUUUAAACAACAACAAAAAAAAAACAUUCAAGUUGUUCAUUUACUUUCGCAUGUAAAUUGUAAUUGAAACAAUUUACAUUAUCAUGCUUUUAUAUACAAUUUACACAAAAGUGCGAUAUGUUUUCAUGAACGAAGACCUUAUUUAGCACAAAUUGACAUGAUUAUUAGCCUCUCAUAAUAUCCAAACCAUUCGAAUAACAUAUCCGUGUAGGAAAUGAUCAGUUGUGAAUGUAUGGCCAAGGAAAACUUUCCCAGUUCAAAACUUUCCUACUGUACUGUAUUUCCUCUCCAGACAUUGCUCGUAUUCAUUUGUUUGUUCAUCAUUUCAUCUUUAUUUUUGCCCUGAACGAACAUGCUAAAGUAGGUUUGCAAGUAUGGACCGAGACUGCCAAAAAAAAAAGGAAUGUAUGAGAAGCAUUCUGUAUAUCUUGUACAAUUUACAGCCAAACUCCAGGUGUUCAAUUCAUCAGAAUAAACGUGUUUUCUUGUCUUUUUUGUUUCUUUUCCGUUUUAAUCAUUUAAUCAUGAGAUAUGUUACGGAGCAUCGCUUCUACAUGUUUGAGUGACUGCUGCUCUUUUUGUACUUUUUGUCCAUUUGUACAUUCUUUUUAAAUGUUUCUACUUGCUUUUCAGACUGCCUUUUUUGUACAUUCAACUUUAUAUUCUGACAGUGGAAGCUUUCCUCACGGUGUCUUCAAACCAUAACGUUUUAAAGUCUGCAAUUGUGUGCUAGCUUUAUGAAAAAGAAUUAUAAGCCUAUAUUGAUGGUUAUCAAAUAUUGUGUGAGUGUGCAUGUGCAGUUUUAUAUCAAAAUAAAUUUGAUAUUUUAUACACAA
rnacentral:lncRNA from 1 species